rnacentral:rRNA from 1 species
UACGAAGGGGGCGAGCGUUGUUCGGAUUUACUGGGCGUAAAGGGCGCGUAGGCGGCGCAACAAGUCACUUGUGAAAUCUCCGGGCUUAACCCGGAGCGGCCAAGUGAUACUGUCGUGCUAGAGUGCGGAAGGGGCUACUGGAAUUCUCGGUGUAGCGGUGAAAUGCGUAGAUAUCGAGAGGAACACCUGCGGCGAAGGCGGGUAGCUGGGCCGACACUGACGCUGAGGCGCGAAAGCUAGGGGAGCGAAUGGG